rnacentral:rRNA from 1 species
CCUACGGGAGGCAGCAGUGGGGAAUAUUGGGCAAUGGGCGCAAGCCUGACCCAGCAACGCCGCGUGAAGGAAGACGGCUUUCGGGUUGUAAACCUCUUUUCUCAGGGACGAAGCAAGUGACGGUACCUGAGGAAUAAGCCACGGCUAACUACGGGCCAGCCGCCGCGGUAAUACGUAGGUGGCAAGCGUUAUCCGGAUUUACUGGGUGUAAAGGGCGUGUAGGCGGGACUGCAAGUCAGAUGUGAAAACCACGGGCUCAACCUGUGGCCUGCAGUUGAAACUGUAGUUCUUGAGUACUGGAGAGGCAGACGGAAUUCGUGGUGUAGCGGUGAAAUGCGUAGAUAUUAGGAGGAACACCAGUGGCGAAGGCGGUCUGCUGGACAGCAACUGACGCUGAGGCGCGAAAGCGUGGGGAGCGAACAGGAUUAGAUACCCUUGUAGUC